AUACGGAGGGUGCAAGCGUUAAUCGGAAUUACUGGGCGUAAAGCGCACGCAGGCGGUCUGUCAAGUCGGAUGUGAAAUCCCCGGGCUCAACCCGGGAACUGCAUUCGAAACUGGCAGGCUAGAGUCUUGUAGAGGGGGGUAGAAUUCCAGGUGUAGCGGUGAAAUGCGUAGAGAUCUGGAGGAAUACCGGUGGCGAAGGCGGCCCCCUGGACAAAGACUGACGCUCAGGUGCGAAAGCGUGGGGAGCAAACAGGAUUAGAUACCCUGGUAGUCCACGCCGUAAACGAUGUCGACUUGGAGGCUGUUCCCUUGAGGAGUGGCUUCCGGAGCUAACGCGUUAAGUCGACCGCCUGGGGAGUACGGCCGCAAGGUUAAAACUCAAAUGAAUUGACGGGGGCCCGCACAAGCGGUGGAGCAUGUGGUUUAAUUCGAUGCAACGCGAAGAACCUUACCUGGCCUUGACAUCCACGGAAUUCGGCAGAGAUUCAUAGGCCUUCGGAAUUC
rnacentral:rRNA from 1 species